AAAGUCGUAACAAGGUUUCCGUAGGUGAACCUGCGGAAGGAUCAUUAACAAAUUCCAAAACUCGUGUUUGACUGAGAUCUUCUUGGGUGUUGCAGGGUGUCCCCACGUGGGCCAUCCGGAUGCUUGAGAUCCUCAGUCAGUUACAACACAAAAACUCACAUUAACAAUUGACAACCAAGAGUAAACCAAAACUUAAAUCGAAACAACUUUUAACAAUGGAUCUCUCGGCUCUU
rnacentral:misc_RNA from 1 species